rnacentral:lncRNA from 1 species
UGCAUAUGGAAAUGUCAGUCUUACAGUGAUUUUUCUUGUCCUUCAAUUAGAUCCUCCUAUGAUUUUGAGGAUGUGAGAGAAUCAUGAAAGAUUACUGUUAACUUCAAGCCUAAAUCCUUCAUCUCAUUGGAAUAAUGGGGGAAUUCACUUUCUAAUCCACGUUUCUUUGCUGCCUGCGGAAUUUGUAACCAUAGUAUCACAUCAGUUUAGGUUAGCCUGAAAUAGAUGAGAAGCUCAACCUCUUCUCUGACUUGCUGAAGGUUUUCCUUAUGGCUGACUACUUAUGUGUGUGAUGUGUGGUGUUCUGUGCCUUGCUUCCUUCCUUCCCCAUUCUCUUUUUGCAAGGAGAGGUAGAAGGAAUGGUCUGCCACUGUCCAGAGGUGCUGCUAAUUAUAGACCAAUCUGCCCAGUGAAGAGCCUGCAGGAAAGAGGUGAAGGCCCAGAGCUACAUCUACGCAGGACAUCCACGGAGCAGAAACUUGUGGGAAUACCAUGAAUUGCCCAGAGACACAGUGGGAUUAGUGUGUGUUUGCUUCUUUAGUACUGCCCCUUUAUCACACAAAAACAGUUAUUAUUUGAGCUGCUUUGGGAAUACACUGUAUGCAUUUUCCAUAAGUAUUUUUUGUGAAUUGGCUUUUGUGAAGUCCAGAUAUUUUUUUUACUAAACCCUUUUGAAUACGAAAUAAUUUACAAGUGUCCUCCUUUUUCUUGCCUUGCACAACCAGCUUUAAUUUUGGGACUUUUCCUGGUGGGGUUAUUACAUCUUACAAGAUUAUUUCUGCAAUAUUAUUUUCUCCAUUCUGUAUGAGAGUAUUAUUUUCUUAAUUUCUGUAUGAGAGGAAAUAGCACUGUAGUUUUUAAAAGAGAUAUAUUUGAACAUUCUGUGUUGAACUUUGUGUUCAGCUUGAUGUUUUCUUUAAUGAUAUUGAGUGUAAGCAACAGCUAAAAUGUAAUUUUAUUUAAUUGUAGGGGUUUUGAUUUUUUUCCUCCCUAUUUUGGGGGGAUGGGGUUUGGUUGUUUAGGCAAGUAUAUUUCCAGCUCAAUGAAAUAAAUGUAAAAAGAAAAAAAAAAUCUAAUCCCUU